CUACGGGAGGCAGCAGCUAGGAAUAUUGGGCAAUGGGCGCAAGCCUGACCCAGCAACACCGCGUGGAGGAUGAAGGCUUCCGGGUCGUAAACUCCUUUUAAGGGGGAUGAGAACGGACAGUACCCCCUGAAUAAGGCCCGGCUAACUACGUGCCAGCAGCCGCGGUAAUACGUAGGGGCCAAGCGUUAUCCGGAUUUACUGGGCGUAAAGCGCAUGUAGGCGGUCUGCCAAGUCGGACGUUAAAGCUCCUGGCUUAACUGGGAGAGGUCGUUUGAAACUGGCAGACUAGAGGACGGUAGAGGAGAGCGGAAUUCCAGGUGUAGCGGUGAAAUGCGUAGAUAUCUGGAGGAACACCAGUGGCGAAAGCGGCUCUCUGGCCCGCUCCUGACGCUGAGAUGCGAAAGCCAGGGGAGAGAACGGGAUUAGAAACCCCAGUAGUCC
rnacentral:rRNA from 1 species